AUUGAACGCUGGCGGCAGGCUUAACACAUGCAAGUCGAGCGGGGAAGAGUAGCUUGCUACUGGACCUAGCGGUGGACGGGUGAGUAAUGCUUAGGAAUCUGCCUAUUAGUGGGGGACAACAUCUCGAAAGGGAUGCUAAUACCGCAUACGUCCUACGGGAGAAAGCAGGGGACCUUCGGGCCUUGCGCUAAUAGAUGAGCCUAAGUCGGAUUAGCUAGUUGGUGGGGUAAAGGCCUGCCAAGGCGACGAUCUGUAGCGGGUCUGAGAGGAUGAUCCGCCACACUGGGACUGAGACACGGCCCAGACUCCUACGGGAGGCAGCAGUGGGGAAUAUUGGACAAUGGGGGGAACCCUGAUCCAGCCAUGCCGCGUGUGUGAAGAAGGCCUUUUGGUUGUAAAGCACUUUAAGCGAGGAGGAGGCUACCGAGAUUAAUACUCUUGGAUAGUGGACGUUACUCGCAGAAUAAGCACCGGCUAACUCUGUGCCAGCAGCCGCGGUAAUAC
rnacentral:rRNA from 1 species